rnacentral:rRNA from 1 species
AUGCAUUGGUACACAUGGUGGAAACUUUGUUAUCCAAAAAGAGAGGGAGGUAUGGGAUUCAGGGAUUUAUACUCCUUUAAUUUGGCAAUAUUGUCAAAACAGUGAUGGAGGCUUAUUACCAAUCUGGAUUCCUUAUGUGCAAAAGUACUGAAGGGUAAGUACUUUCCCCAUGUGAGUCUACUUGAAGCUACAUUGAAGAAUGGAUCAACUUUUACAUGGAAAACUAUUAUGAAGGGACUUGAAACCUUUAAACUGGGUUAUAUUUGGAGGAUAGGAACAUGAGAGAAUGUGAACAGAUGGAAUGAUCCGUGGAUCCCAUCUAGCCCGGAUAGGAGGAUUAUAUCAAGUCGAAGCCAAAUUGUCCUGUCCAUGGUAAGCGAUCUUAUCGACCCCACGACUGACACGUGGGAUGAGGACUUGGUGCGCGCUAUCUUUAACCCUGUGGAUGUAAGACGGAUCCUGCAAAUACCGCUGAAUGUUGGCGCUUUUGAUGAUUUCAUAGUCUGGAAUCUGGACAGCAAAGGUUGCUUCUCGGUCAGAUCCGCGUAUAAGGUGCAGUGGAUUCGAUCUUUCCAGGCCCAGGCAAAUGUAAUGGCACGUCCGGGUGGCUCGAGUACACCGGAAGUUUGGAGCAUGAUGUGGAAACUAAAUGUCCCACGUAAAGUACAUAUCUUUUGCUGGCGUGUUCUCCAUGGAAUUCUGCCGCUAAAAUCAAUACUCACUAAUCGGCAUAUCGGUACAGAUGGAGCUUGCCCAAUAUGUCAUCAGGAUGCAGAGGAUAUACUCCACUUGUUACUUGACUGUUAUCACGCCAAGGAGUUGUGGAAAAAUCUAGGCAUCGCAGAAAUUGUGGAGGAGGUCAAACGUAUUGAUAGGCUAGGCUCAGUCAUGAUGGAACACCUACUAUUACAGCCCGAUGUGCAAUUGACAAUUAAACCAACUCUGAACAUCAAACAAGUGCUACUUGUGGGUGCCUGGUAUCUUUGGUGGAUUAGGCGUCACCUCACUCAUGAUAGUACUCCACCACCACCUAUGAGAUGGCAUAUGUCAGUACUAGCAAUCGCUAAUAAUUAUCACGAGGCCAAUACCAAAGAAAAAGCAAAUAGGGAACAAAGAUGGUGUAAACUAGAAUCCAAAUUUGUGAAGGUAAAUGUGGAUGCUGCUUUCUUUGUUGAUGAAGGACUGGGAGCUACAACCGCUGUAAUUAGGGAUGCUAAUGGGAAUUUCCUAGCUGCACAGUGCAGGUUGAUACGUCUCCAACGUAUGUAUAAUAUUUGA